GAUGAACGCUAGCGGCAGGCCUAAUACAUGCAAGUCGAGGGGUAACAGGGUAGUAAUAUCUGCUGACGACCGGCGCACGGGUGCGUAACACGUAUACAAUCUGCCUUUAACAGGGGGAUAGCCCGGAGAAAUCCGGAUUAAUACCCCAUAACAAUGGAAGAAGCAUUUCUUCUAUUUAAAAGCUCAGGCGGUUAGAGAUGAGUAUGCGUCUGAUUAGCUAGUUGGUAAGGACGGCUUACCAGGCAACGAUCAGUAGGGGAUCUGAGAGGAUUAACCCCCACAC
rnacentral:rRNA from 1 species